GCGGGUAUAGUAUAACGGCUAUUAUGCUAGCCUUCCAAGCUGGAGAUACGGGUUCGAUUCCCGUUACCCGCUCCA
rnacentral:tRNA from 1 species